UACGUAGGGGACUAGCGUUGUCCGGAAUUACUGGGCGUAAGGGGCGCGCAGGCUGUGCUGCAAGUCAGCUGUGAAAUGUCUGGGCUUAACCCGGGCAUGCGGUUGAGACUGCAGUGCUGGAGUGCUGUAGAGGCAAGUGGAAUUCCCAGUGUAGCGGUGAAAUGCGUAGAUAUUGGGAAGAACACCGGUGGCGAAGGCGACUUGCUGGGCAGCAACUGACGCUGAGGCGCGAAAGCGUGGGGAGCAAACA
rnacentral:rRNA from 1 species